rnacentral:rRNA from 1 species
GAUCAUGGCUCAGGAUGAACGCUAGCGACAGGCUUAACACAUGCAAGUCGAGGGGAAGCACAGGUAGCAAUACCGGGUGGCGACCGGCGCACGGGUGAGUAACGCGUAUGCAACUUACCUAUCAGAGGGGGAUAACCCGGCGAAAGUCGGAUUAAUACCGCAUGAAGCAGGGGUCCCGCAUGGGGAUAUUUGCUAAAGAUUCAUCGCUGAUAGAUAGGCAUGCGUUCCAUUAGG